GACAGAACCAGGAUUGAAUGAGGCAAGUAAAGGAACAUCCUCGGAUAUAUGAUGAGACAUCCUGUGGCGCAUAUAAGGGUCACAACCCAAGUAAAGAUUCUUCACAAACAAACCCCUUGAUCCUUGUGGAAUAUCGCUACUUAUCAUUGACUUUCGUAACUCAAAAUCACUCUCUUUUGGAUACCCUUCAACAUAAUUCUUCAACACAACUUGUUUGUUUCCUAACAUCAUGCUUGACUCUCUCCUUUCUUCUCUUCUCUCUUUUGCCAACUCAAAUCUACAGU
rnacentral:misc_RNA from 1 species